GACGAACGCUGGCGGCGUGCUUAACACAUGCAAGUCGAACGGAAAGGCCCUGCUUUUGUGGGGUGCUCGAGUGGCGAACGGGUGAGUAACACGUGAGUAACCUCCCCUUGACUUUGGGGUAACUUCAGGGAACUGGGGCUAAUACCGGGUAUGAGCACCUGCUGCAUGGUGGGGGUUGGUAAGUUUCGGCGGUUGGGGAUGGACUCGCGGCUUAGCAGCUUGUUGGUGGGGUAGUGGCUUACCAAGGCUUUGACGGGUAGCCGGCCUGGGAGGGUGACCGGCCACAUUGGGACUGAGAUACGGCCAAGACUCCUACGGGAGGCAGCAGUGGGAAAUAUUGCACAAUGGGCGGAAGCCUGAUGCAGCAACGCCGCGUGCGGGAUGACGGCCUUCGGGUUGUAAACCGCUUUCGCCUGUGACGAAGCGUGAGUGACGGUAAUGGGUAAAGAAGCACCGGCUAACUACGUG
rnacentral:rRNA from 1 species